rnacentral:rRNA from 1 species
GACGAACGCUGGCGGCGUGCUUAACACAUGCAAGUCGAACGCUGAAGCUUGGUGCUUGCACUGGGUGGAUGAGUGGCGAACGGGUGAGUAAUAAGUGAGUAACCUGCCCUUGACUCUGGGAUAAGCCUGGGAAACUGGGUCUAAUACUGGAUACGACAUGUCACCGCAUGGUGGUGUGUGGAAAGGGUUUUACUGGUUUUGGAUGGGCUCACGGCUUAUCAGCUUGUUGGUGGGGUAAUGGCUCACCAAGGCGACGACGGGUAGCCGGCCUGAGAGGGUGACCGGCCACACUGGGACUGAGACACGGCCCAGACUCCUACGGGAGGCAGCAGUGGGGAAUAUUGCACAAUGGGCGGAAGCCUGAUGCAGCGACGCCGCGUGAGGGAUGACGGCCUUCGGGUUGUAAACCUCUUUCAGCACGGAAGAAGCGAAAGUGACGGUACGUGCAGAAGAAGCGCCGGCUAACUACGUG